UGGUGGCGACCGGCGCACGGGUGAGUAACGCGUAUGCAACCUACCUUAUACAGGAGUAUAGCCCGAAGAAAUUCGGAUUAAUCCUCCAUAGUAUUUUCUAAUGGCAUCAUUUGGAAAAUUAAAGCUUCGGCGGUAUAAGAUGGGCAUGCGUCCUAUUAGCUAGAUGGUAAGGUAAUGGCUUACCAUGGCAACGAUAGGUAGGGGGCCUGAGAGGGUGACCCCCCACACUGGUACUGAGACACGGACCAGACUCC
rnacentral:rRNA from 1 species